GCGUUUGUUUCCGGAAGUAGGAACACGCAUGUCUCUCAUAAUGAUUGUGAACGAUAGGCAUUUAAAAAUCCCCGCCAAAAUAGUGCAGUUCCCCUUUAAGUCAACACAGAUUUUUUUAUGUCACUGUUCAAAAAAAAUUAUGAAUAAUUGACCUAUUUAGGGCUCCAAUUACUUCAAAUUAAAUAAUCCACUUUGAAAUUUUGUGGGGAAUUUUGUGUGUAUUUUGUGUUUUUAUGCAAUAAAAACAUUUAUUUUUCUUUUUUUUUUU